UACGAAGGGGGCUAGCGUUGUUCGGAUUUACUGGGCGUAAAGCGCGCGUAGGCGGGUCACUAAGUCAGGGGUGAAAUCCCGAGGCUUAACCUCGGAACUGCCUUUGAUACUGGUGACCUGGAGAUCGGGAGAGGUUGGUGGAAUUCCGAGUGUAGAGGUGAAAUUCGUAGAUAUUCGGAGGAACACCAGAAGCGAAGGCGGCCAACUGGCCCGAUACUGACGCUGAGACGCGAAAGCGUGGGGAGCAAACAGG
rnacentral:rRNA from 1 species